UUAUCGUACUUAGAGCAUAGUAUUUACCUGUUUCUGACGCCUAACUAAUGCCAAGAAACAUCAAGAAUUAACUAUUUUAACGAUAAAUAUAAAAGAAUCUAGUUAUUGGGACCCAGGAAACAGUUUUUGGGUCGAAAGUUGGUAAAUAUAAGAGGUUGAGUACGACAAUCUGGCAACAUUGGAACUUGUGGCGCACGUCGCUCCCCGGAAGAAAGACGAAGCACGGGGAGCUGAUAUGUUGUGGAAGUUCGUUGAAGGAUUUUAUAACGUAAACGGAAUCGAAAUUAAGAAUAGUGGAUUUGAAUAGAGAUUGAACAUAAGCACAGUCGAGAGUAAAGACAGUUAAAUGGAAACCCAGUGGAAAGUAAAAGUAAUCGAAAUUAAUGGUACCUAGUGGAAUUUGGUAGAGGUUGGAACAGUGGAAUUUGGUAGAGGUUGGAACAGUGGAAUUUGGUAGAGGUUGGAACAGUGGAAUUUGGUAGAGGUUGGAACAGUGGAAUUUGGUAGAGGUUGGAACAGUGGAAUUUGGUAGAGGUUGGAACAGUGGAAUUUGGUAGAGGUUGGAACAGUGGAAUUUGGUAGAGGUUGGAACAGUGGAAUUUGGUAGAGGUUGGAACAGUGGAAUUUGGUAGAGGUUGGAACAGUGGAAUUUGGUAGAGGUUGGAACAGUGGAAUUUGGUAGAGGUUGGAACAGUGGAAUUUGGUAGAGGUUGGAACAGUGGAAUUUGGUAGAGGUUGGAACAGUGGAAUUUGGUAGAGGUUGGAACAGUGGAAUUUGGUAGAGGUUGGAACAGUGGAAUUUGGUAGAGGUUGGAACAGUGGAAUUUGGUAGAGGUUGGAACAGUGGAAUUUGGUAGAGGUUGGAACAGUGGAAUUUGGUAGAGGUUGGAACAGUGGAAUUUGGUAGAGGUUGGAUAUAAACACAGUCGAAAGUAAAGCCAUUGAAAAGUGAAAGCAGAGGAAAGUAAAAAUGGGAAGACUUAAAAUCAAUGGAAAGUAGAAAUAGUUAAAAAUAAAGGGAAGGGAAGGGUUUAUCCAACCGAAAGGAAAGGCAGUUAAAUGGAAGCAGAAUCGAAAGUAGAAAUAGUUGGAAGAUAAAAGAAAUAGGACAUAAACACCAUCGGAAAAAAAAUAAUUAAAUGGAAACGCAACCGAAAUAUAAACAGUUGAAAAUAAAAGCGAUAGGACGUAAACACAAUCGAAAGGAAAGAAAAAAACAAAAACAAAAAACAAAUGGAAACACAAGCGAAAGUAAAAACAAUUAAAAUAAAACGCAGUUGAAAAUCAAUACAGGUAAACACAGGUAAACACACUUAGGAGGUAUAAACAAUCAAACCAGGAAAGCUGCGAAAGAGAGAUGCGUAAUACAAGAAGAAAGGGCAGGGAAAGAAAGGUUAGGUUAGGUUAGGUUAGGUCAGGUCUCUUUUUCAGGCAGCAUCACCUCUCUGUAUCUCUCUUGACUCCUUGGUAAACACAGGUAAACACACUUAGAGGGAAUAAACAAUCAAACCAAGAAAGCUGCGAAAGAGAGAUGCGUAAUACAAGAAGAAAGGGCAGGGAAAGAAAGGUUAGGUUAGGUUAGGUUAGGUCUCUUUUUCAGGCAGCAUCACCUCUCCGUAUCUCUCUAGACUCCUUGGUAAACACAGGUAAACACACUUAGGAGGAAUAAACAAUCAAACCAAGAAAGCUGCAACAUCCCAGCCUUCCACCAUCACCGUUACAAUGUUAGCCUCAAAGUG